CAAGACAUACAUCAAUUUAUAUUAGAGUAGAUGGUGUAUAAUGUUAUAUUUACAUCAAUUUAUAUUAGGGUACAUGGUGCAUAAUGUUAUAUUUUAUUAUAUCAAAAAACCAAACUAAAACAACAAUAACAAACAAACAAAAAAACAAUACUGAGGGGCAUGGACCUUUUCCAACCAGGACUCAAUUACUGUAACUUUUGACCUUCCUGUAUUUCACCACAGAGCCUCAUCCUACUAUACAGUCAAUAUUGGGCUCAUACAUUUGUAUUUGACACUUUAAAGAAAGUUUCAUGAUCUUCUCCAUUUCUCUUAAUGUUUAGUAUCUUCAUGAUGUCUGUUACUACUUAAAUGGCAAUUCUCCAGCAUAUAAAUUUUCUUUGCAAGACUGUUGUAUCAAAACAGUUUUUAAAUUCUCUCCCACCAAACCAGCCUCUUUCCUCCUAGAAGAGCUUUCUGCAAAUGUGACCUGCAAAUAAACCCGUCCUGGUGUUACCAGGUCCUUAAUGAUCCACAGACUGUGCUUGAGAAGUUGCCUUUUCUUUAUAUAUGAAGAGGACUCUGCAGAAUGAUGCUGUCUUUGAAGGAGGUGUUUCUGGAUCAUGGAAUACAUUUAUUUUCAAGUAGGCAAGAUGUUUCCAAGUUGGUCUCCAAAGUGGUUGUACCAAUUUACAUUUUAACUAACAAUAGCUCCUCCCUCCUCUCUUUGCCUCCUCACUGCCAUGACAUGAGCAGCUUUCCACUGCCAGAGCCUUUCACCAUGCUGUUUCUACCUUAAAGUCAGCCAACCAGAGUUCUCAACCUAUUUUGGUAUCAAGGUUAUACUAACUACAGCCUAGGCAUGGUGGAGCCUGCCCAUAAUACCAAUACUCUUGGGGGGCAAUGUAAGAAGAUCUCAAGUUCCAGCCCAGCCUGGGAAUCUUAACACCUUAACAAGACCCUAUUUCAAUUUUUAAAAAAAAUUUUUUUUAAAGACUGGAGAUAUAGCUCCCCAGUACCACAAAGAAAGAGAUUAUACUAAUUUCAUAAAAUAAGCUCAGUAACCUUUACUCCUUUUCUGUUUUCUGAAAUAUUACUAAGUGGGAUCAUUUGUUCAAUGAAAUUUGGUAAAACUCACCUGUAAAACCAAUUGGCCUUGUUUCUUUGACAAAGGAUAGCAGAAAG
rnacentral:lncRNA from 1 species